rnacentral:rRNA from 1 species
GACGAACGCUGGCGGCGUGCUUAACACAUGCAAGUCGAACGGAAAGGCCCUGCUUUUGUGGGGUGCUCGAGUGGCGAACGGGUGAGUAACACGUGAGUAACAUGCACUUGACUUUGGGAUAACUUCAGGAAACUGGGGCUAAUACCGGAUAGGAGCUCCUGCUGCAUGGUGGGGGUUGGAAAGUUUCGGCGGUUGGGGAUGGACUCGCGGCUUAUGAGCUUGUUGGGGGGGUAGUGGAUUACCAAGGCUUUGACGGGUAGCCGGCCUUAGAGGGUGGCCGGCCACCUUGGGACUGAGAUACGGCCCAGACGCCUACGGGAGGCAGCAGGGGGGAAUAUUGCACAGUGGGCCGAAGCCUGAUGCAGCGACGCCGCGUGCGGGAUGACGGCCUUCGGGUUGUAAACCGCUUUCGCCUGUGACGAAGCGUGAGUGACGGUAAUGGGUAAAGAAGCACCGGCUAACUACGUG